GAUUCAUAUCCUUUUUUGGAAUUACUGAACAUGCCUAAGAAUUGGAUACACACAUACAGUAUAUGUGUGGGUAUAUCCAUCAAUUCAUUAUCUGUCCCUCCUGGGAGAAUUUAGAGCCACCAUUUAAUCUAACACAUAUGUGAGUAUAGUGUUAUUGUCACAUUUAAUUAAUAAUGUUACACACACCUGUAGAUCUUUCUUUCUUUCUUUCUUUCUUUCUUUCUUUCUUUCUUUCUUUCUUUCUUUCUUUCUUUCUUUCUUUCUUUCAAAAACAACCUUAUAGAUAAAUUUUACACAAACAAUUUGACAAGAGCAAUGCUGAAAAUAUUAGGUAAAAAGCAAAGCAUUUUGUGAAUGUUAAUAUCAUCUGAAAAACAUUUACAUUAUUAAAAAUAUUAUACUAUCCAAAGGAAGAGUUGCAAUAAGAAUGCCCCACAAAAGACAUUAGCAUUUACUGUACUUUGCUGGGUGCCACAGACUAUACCAUCACUCCUCCCACGCAUAUCUUUACUCUAUUUAUCUCGGCUCAGUCUGUCUUCCUCUCUUCAUCUCUUGCUCUAUCACUUUAAGUCUUCAUCUUUCAUCCUGUCUCUUUCACUCACUCCUCUCCUUUUAUCAACCAGUAUCUUCCACCCACACUUAUCUGGCCUCACCAUAAUGUCUGCAUGAUUUCUGUUUUCCCUUUCUGUACUGUCCAUUGUGGUGAACUAAUUUAUUUUUAUAUCCAUUAAACUCUCCUUAUCUCCUCUACCCUUACAUACCUGCUUCUUCUCUUUACAAUUACUAUUUCCCCACCUUUAUUCCCUUAUUUUUUCUCUUAUUCUAUUCUAUUCAAUCAACACCUAUCUAUUUCUUCUGUCCCUGGGAAAAAGUUAAAUUUACUUGGUAACUAAUGCUUUAACAACAAUUAUCCAAAGAUUCUAGAAGCUAAAUUAAUAAAAAAGAGCAGAAGAAUGAAGUGACUUUCCUUAUUUAAAUUUCUCUUUAAUUAAACAUUUAAUCUUUGCAGUCAAAUAUCUCAGCAUCUAAUGAACUGGUCUUAUUACACCUUUUGAGCAAUUUACCUAUGAAAAAAGCUAUUUCAUAUAUUGGAGGUUAAAAUCAGCCAUUACAUGUCCGCACCCAUAAGUGGUGUUGAUUUGUUUCAACUUUAACUAUCACAUCCAGAAAACAUUUGGAUGUACUAGAAGCCAGGUAAUGAAAAAAAACACAUGAUCUGUUUAGUAUGAUCACCAGAUGAUAAAAUUAAUAUGAGUCUAUGUUAGCAACCAGAAUAUCCAGUUCGUGGAUAAGGGGAACCCUUGCCUGUAGUUCCCGAAUAAUUCUGUCUUGGUUUCUUUGAAUACUUUGGGUAUUUGGGGGAGCUGUCGGAAAACUUUCUGUUCCAGCUUUAGGAGAUAAAUAUCAGAAUGACUAAUCUACUAAAUAGCCACCACUCCGCCAAGUUCAGUUCUCUGCUUGCUGGUUUCUCACAAAGUAAACUGGUACAAUUUAACAAAUGAGAAAAGCAUUCUCUUUUCCCAUUUAUAUUAUCUACUUUUUGGAGCCCACUUUGCAUGUUUUAGAUUUAUGCCUUGACCCUUUUUUUAAACUCUUGUUGACUUUUUCUAAGUUGCCUUUUCUUCCCCCAUUUUCAGUUACCAUGGAAAUAUAUGUGGCUUUUUUUAAGUUCUUCUCUGUGUCUCUCCUCAGUUUCCAUGGCAAUAUCAGGUAUUUUGUGUGACUCUUUUAACCCACUCUCUACCUUGGAAUGCUAGACAGUAUUGUACCUCUUUCCAAUUGCGCUAGACUCUGUAAGAGAAAGCAUGAGUCAAGGAUAUAAGCAGGUAGCUAAUCCUCUGUGCAGUCUGCUCCAGAGUAAAUCAGUAUAUCUGAAAACAUGUUUUAUCUGUACAAGGGUCAGUAACUUUACCAUUCAGUUAUACUCUGUCACUAACAACCGUCUUCCCUUACCUCAAUUGUUUAUCACUCUGCCUCUCCCUCAUAUCACACCAUCUGUGGUAUGCGGUCUGUCAGUCGGUGUGUCUCCUACUUAGUCAUGUUGUCGGUUUUGAGUGAUCAGCAACUUCAUCUGCCUUUACAGCUCAGUUUCUUAGCUGUUCUGCCUGUUCAUUGCUCUGUUUUCCUGGCUACCUUGAAGUCAUUGUCUUUGACGCUGUCUGGUUCUAUACCUAUCAAUCCUGCUCCCUGUCUAUUUGUCUGUCUGACAAUGUUAACCCCUUACUUCUGUUAGUGAUUUUCACCCCCCUCUCUCCCUCCCUCCUCGUUUUCUCUCAUCUUUACACAAUGUUUUUCUUAGCUCUGCCUUUGCUCUUCUGUGUAUAUGAUUAUCUGUAUUGUGCUCUUCAAACACCCAUGUCCUUCUUGUGUUUGUAAGUCUGUUUGUCAGAAUGUUUGUGUGUCCUUUCUCUUUUGUGAUUCAAUGUGUCUGUCUGGAUGGCUGCUUCCUUAAAUCUCGCUGUGCCUCUCUUUCUCUCUUUAUUGCACCUUCUUUCUCCUCAGU